rnacentral:rRNA from 1 species
CAUGUAGGGUGCGAGCGUUGUCCGGAAUUAUUGGGCGUAAAGAGCUCGUAGGCGGUGUGUCGCGUCGGCCGUGAAAACCUGCAGCUUAACUGUGGGCGUGCGGUCGAUACGGGCAUCACUGGAGUUCGGCAGGGGAGACUGGAAUUCCUGGUGUAGCGGUGAAAUGCGCAGAUAUCAGGAGGAACACCGGUGGCGAAGGCGGGUCUCUGGGCCGAUACUGACGCUGAGGAGCGAAAGCGUGGGGAGCAAACAGG